CCCGUGAGGACCUGGAAGAUCAUACCGAGUAGGUCUCUACAGCCGACCUCCAACCCCAUGUUACUUGUACCUGUGUUGUUCGGCGGCCCGUCUCGCGAGAGACCGCCGGGGCCCCGGAAACCGGGCCUCUGGUCCGCGCCCGUCGACAGCCCAACCUCAAAAUUCUUGAACCAUUCGUGUCUAUGUCUGAAUAUCUAUUACCAAAUAAAGCAAAAAACUUUCAACAACGGAUCUCUUGGUUCUGGCAUCGAUGAAGAACGCAGCGAAAUGCGAUAAGUAAUGCGAAUUGCAGAAUUCCAGUGAGUCAUCGAAUCUUUGAACGCACAUUGCGCCCUUUGGUAUUCCGAAGGGCAUGCCUGUUCGAGCGUCAUUAUCACCCCUCAAACCGCCUCGGUGGUUUGGUGUUGGACGGUCUGGUUAGGCGACUAACCCCUCCCAAAGACAAUGACGGCGGCCACGCAGGACCCCCGGUACACUGAGCUUCUUAACUGAGCACGUAUCGGAUCUUAGGGGACUCGAGGCCCGGUCUCANCCAUUACUUUUUCAUGGUUGACUCGGAUAGUAGGAUACCCC
rnacentral:rRNA from 1 species